UGGAACGUACGCAUGCGCAGAAAGAACCACAGCAAAAAGGAAAGCGCGAGAGGUUCAACCGGCGUCGUCUUCGUUGGAAGUCAAACAUUCUGACUAUUCUUUACUUUUUUUUACUAACUUCUGAGAAAUACCGAGAUUGAACCGUAUGAAAGGUUCGCAAAGUGGAACUUGAGGAUUUCGGGGAGGCAAACAUGAGGAGCCAAGCAACAGCUAAGCUAAGUGGCUGUGGGUUGAGCGCCCCCACAGGCGAAGAGGGGAACAGCAGAACCACAGCAUUUUACAAAUGUUGCAGUUUUGGUCCCCAAUCAAACUGAAACUACCAGACUACCUGGCGGAAAAACUCUAAGACUCUUAGAAGAAACUGCAAUUUAAAGUGCCAAUUAGAAACAACCAAUCAGAGACAGGAGGCGCGUCCUAGCGCUGUCAAUCAAGGUCUGUGUGGCGCUACUCAUCC